rnacentral:rRNA from 1 species
AAGGUACGGGAGGCAGCAGUAGGGAAUCUUCCGCAAUGGGCGAAAGCCUGACGGAGCAACGCCGCGUGAGUGAAGAAGGAUUUCGGUUCGUAAAGCUCUGUUGUUAGGGAAGAACAGCGCAUAGAGUAACUGUUAUGCGUGUGACGGUAUCUAACCAGAAAGCCACGGCUAACUACGUGCCAGCAGCCGCGGUAAUCCUU